GACAAAAAGUUACUUGAAAGUAACUUUACUUUAAGUUUAGCCAAGCAUACUCUUAUGGCAGGAAAAAUAAAUAAAUAAACAAUUGAUCCAAAUGCAUUUGGAAAUAAAAAGUUACUUUCAAAGUGGACAAUACUGUUGUUUUCUAAAUCUUUUUGAUAUAUGCUCAAAUCUUAUUGGACACUAUUUAUUUCCACUUAAUUUGGUUUCAAUAGGAGGGAGGACUCUAAGACACAUGAUUACUAUUUAUUUUAAGAUAAAAGCGAGCAAUUUGUUUAUGUUAUGUUUGUUCCUGAAGUAGGAACUGGUCCAUUUGUUCCUCAGUAGCUCUUUUCACAAAGGCUUAGGCUUCCUCGGUAAAGUCUAAGUAGAAGACAUGAUUUCUUGGAACUGAUGUUUACUAGUUUUAAGUAUGUUGAGCAAGUCAUGUUCUCUUAUUUUCUAGCUUAACCAAACAGUGUUCCAUGAUGGAUUUAGUAGUGCAGCCUCUCUGUGCGAGAGGUGAAAUCCAAUCUUAUGUUUUGCUUGCUGAUUUGGUUUUUUGAUGUGGACUACCAGUUAUCCUCCCCCACGCGAGAAAUGUGCUGGUCCUUCGUGUACAAAUGCAUACAAGUAUCGAGAUUCUGAGUCGAACCUCCCUCUUUGCAGCCUUCAGUGCUACAAGGCAAUACACGAGAAGACACGACCUCUGUCUGCUUGUUGAUUUUCUCCUGAUUCUAAUACGAGCACCUGCAGCGAGUUCUUGUUUCUGGGGUAAUGGAUAGAGACCUUGAUGGGUAUGAUGUAGGUGUUAGAGACUAUAAUAUUUCGAGUUCAGGCAAAGAGAGUAAGAAACCCAGACCAGAUAGAAUAUCCGAAGACACUGACUAUGCAGAAGAUGAAGAGUCGGUAUCUGAUGGUGAGCUAGAAACCAAGAAUAAGAAACAAUUAAAGGAGUCAUUUGAAGUCUCGGUAUCCUCUAAGGGGGAAAGGGCAAUAACUACACGCCGGCAGGCCCUUCAAAAGGGUAGAGACAUCUCCAUGAGUUUGGAUGCGAAUUUUAUUGAGUUUCCAAACGGGUUACCUCCCGCCCCUCCAAGAAGUGAGCAUUCCUUCCUGUUGAACUCAUUAAAUGACACUGGGUCCAUAGAUUUCUGAGUCCACUUCUUGCUUAUGAUAACGUGGUUGGUUUGGUCCACAGAGCAAAAGGAGAAACUUUCUGAAAUGGAACAUCAACUUAAAAGAGCUGAGGCUGCUCAAAGGCGUAGGAUUCAAAAUGAGAAGGCUGCUCGUGAGUCUGAGGUUUGUACUUUCCAUUUACUCCAUAUUCUCGUUUGUUUACUUUUAUAUGUAUUUUGUGACAAUUUUUACCUUAAAGAAUCUAUGUUUAAAUUUACUGAAGGAUGGAUUAUAUGAUGAUAUGAUUUACUGAUUAGCAUUCCUGGAAUUGACAGGCCGAAGCAAUUAGGAAAAUCCUGGGUCAAGAUUCCAGUAGAAAACGACGAGAAGAGAAAAUUAAGAAACGGAAAGAGCAGUUAGCACAGGUGACAAGAUGUACAUAGAUACCAUAUUUCAUAUGGCACAGUAGAUUUUCCUUUUGUUUACCCUAGUCAUGUAAAAUAAUGUAGGAGAGGGCUGCCAAUGCUACUGUUGCAUCAAAUGUUGUUAGAUGGGUCAUGGGUCCUUCAGGGACAACUGUGACAUUUCCCGACGAUAUUGGCCUCCCAAGUAUAUUUGAAUCCAAGCAUUCCAGGUAAUAGAGCAAUAUAGAGUGAAUGAUUCAUAUGUAUUAUACAGUGGCAUGAUCUGGCACACUAUUAUUAUCUAGAGCAUGUUUCACUCAGCUUAAAAUGUUCAUUUAUAAGUAAAUAAACUUUAGAAUAUGAUAUUUUUAUAAUAUGAAAUCAAAAAUAAGUUAAAUUGACAAGAAGGUAAAAAUUACUUAAAAAUAAGUAACUUUUUUUUUAUAGUGAGCUUGUUUGGCUAAGCUUAAAAGUUUACUUAUAAGUAAACAAGUAAUUUAAAAUACAUAAUUUGUUUUAUUGGCGAAAGUUAGAAACAAAAGUUACUUAUUUUAACACCGAGUAAAAUUUACUUUCAAAAAUGUAAUUUUUUUUCUUUAAUUGACGAGCAUGUUUUGGGACAAAAAGUUACUUGAAAGUAACUUUACUUUAAGUUUAGCCAAGCAUACUCUUAUGGCAGGAAAAAUAAAUAAAUAAACAAUUGAUCCAAAUGCAUUUGGAAAUAAAAAGUUACUUUCAAAGUGGACAAUACUGUUGUUUUCUAAAUCUUUUUGAUAUAUGCUCAAAUCUUAUUGGACACUAUUUAUUUCCACUUAAUUUGGUUUCAAUAGGAGGGAGGACUCUAAGACACAUGAUUACUAUUUAUUUUAAGAUAAAAGCGAGCAAUUUGUUUAUGUUAUGUUUGUUCCUGAAGUAGGAACUGGUCCAUUUGUUCCUCAGUAGCUCUUUUCACAAAGGCUUAGGCUUCCUCGGUAAAGUCUAAGUAGAAGACAUGAUUUCUUGGAACUGAUGUUUACUAGUUUUAAGUAUGUUGAGCAAGUCAUGUUCUCUUAUUUUCUAGCUUAACCAAACAGUGUUCCAUGAUGGAUUUAGUAGUGCAGCCUCUCUGUGCGAGAGGUGAAAUCCAAUCUUAUGUUUUGCUUGCUGAUUUGGUUUUUUGAUGUGGACUACCAGUUAUCCUCCCCCACGCGAGAAAUGUGCUGGUCCUUCGUGUACAAAUGCAUACAAGUAUCGAGAUUCUGAGUCGAACCUCCCUCUUUGCAGCCUUCAGUGCUACAAGGCAAUACACGAGAAGACACGACCUCUGUCUGCUUGUUGAUUUUCUCCUGAUUCUAAUACGAGCACCUGCAGCGAGUUCUUGUUGGCCUUGGUGUGUAAAAGGUCAAUGGAUGAGACAUGUUUUUACUAUGUAAUAAUGCUUUUUUAAUGUAGCAGUAGCAGUAGC
rnacentral:lncRNA from 1 species